rnacentral:rRNA from 1 species
GACGUAGGGCGCGAGCGUUGUCCGGAUUUAUUGGGCGUAAAGAGCUCGUAGGCGGCUUGUCGCGUCGACUGUGAAAACCCGAGGCUCAACUUCGGGCUUGCAGUCGAUACGGGCAGGCUAGAGUUCGGUAGGGGAGACUGGAAUUCCUGGUGUAGCGGUGAAAUGCGCAGAUAUCAGGAGGAACACCGGUGGCGAGGGCGGGUCUCUGGGCCGAUACUGACGCUGAGGAGCGAAAGCGUGGGGAGCGAACAGG